UACGUAGGGUGCAAGCGUUAAUCGGAAUUACUGGGCGUAAAGCGUGCGCAGGCGGUUCGUUGUGUCUGCUGUGAAAUCCCCGGGCUCAACCUGGGAAUGGCAGUGGAAACUGGCGAGCUUGAGUGUGGCAGAGGGGGGUGGAAUUCCGCGUGUAGCAGUGAAAUGCGUAGAGAUGCGGAGGAACACCGAUGGCGAAGGCAACCCCCUGGGCUGACACUGACGCUCAGGCACGAAAGGCGUGGGGAGCAAACAGG
rnacentral:rRNA from 1 species